rnacentral:rRNA from 1 species
GAUGAACGCUGGCGGCGUGCCUAAUACAUGCAAGUCGAAGGGAGUGGCGAACGGGUGAGUAACACGUGAGUAACCUGCCCUUUUCUUUGGGAUAAGCCUGGGAAACUGGGUCUAAUACUGGAUGGAUUGGGAUGGGCUCGCGGGGUAUCAGCUUGUUGGUGGGGUGAUGGCUUACCAAGGCUUUGACGGGUAGCCGGCCUGAGAGGGUGGUCGGGCACACUGUGACUGAGAUACGGCCCAGAGUCCUACGGGAGGAAGCAGUGGGGAAUAUUGCACAAUGGGCGCAAGCCGGAUACAGCCAUGCCGCGAGUAUGAAGAAGGCCUUCGGGUUGUAAAGUACUUUCAGCGGGGAGGCGUUACCCGCAGAAGAAGCACCGGCUAACUCCGUGCCAGCAGCCGCGGUAAUAG